rnacentral:rRNA from 1 species
UUUAACAAAAACAUGUUCUUUUGAGUAAAAUUUAAGGUCGGGCCUGCCCACUGAUAUGAAUUGAAGGGCCGCGGUAUUUUGACCGUGCAAAGGUAGCAUAAUCAUUAGUCUUUUAAUUGAGGGCUAGAAUGAAUGGUUUGACGAAAUAUUAACUGUCUCUUUAUGAUGAGUAGAAUUUAACUUUUGAGUUAAAAGGCUUAAAUGAAUAUAAAAGACGAGAAGACCCUAUAGAUCUUUAUACAAUAGGUGUAAAUGUUUAUUUAGUUGUAUUAAUUAUGUUUAUGCUAUUGUAUUUUGUUGGGGUGACAUGAAGAUAUAAAUAACUCUUUAUAAUGGAAACAUUGAUUUAUGGUUAAUUGAUCCGUUAUUAACGAUUAUAAGAUAAAGUUACCUUAGGGAUAACAGCGUAAUUUUUUUUGAGAGUUCUUAUCGACAAAAAAGAUUGCGACCUCG